rfam:Desulfobulbaceae bacterium S3730MH12 k99_1792190, whole genome shotgun sequence.
GGGAGCGGGCGCAUGAUCGCCCCGGUCGACUGACCGGAGAGGAAAGUCCGAACUCCACAGGGCAGGAUGGUUCGUAACACGAACGCCGGGUGACCGGGGGAAAGUGCCACAGAAAACAAACCGCCAGGCACUCAAUUUGUUUUAUAAUGUCCAUACACAUGCUGCACCUUCGAGAGUAGUUAAUGACAUGGUCAUUGUAUAACAAGCUGAGUGCCUGGUAAGGGUGAAACGGCGAGGUAAGAGCUCACCGCUUCCAUGGUGACAUGGGAGGCAGGGCAAACCCCAUCCGGAGCAAGACCAAAUAGGGAGAUGUUUGAGAGCGGCCCGUUCGAAAUCUCCGGGUAGGUUGCAAGAGGUGUUGAGCAAUCAACAUCCCAGUGAAAUGAUCAUGGCUCUUUACAGAGUACAGAAUUCGGCUUAUAGCCCGCUCCUUUUU